GCUGACGAGUGGCGGACGGGUGAGUAAUGUCUGGGAAACUGCCUGAUGGAGGGGGAUAACUACUGGAAACGGUAGCUAAUACCGCAUAACGUCGCAAGACCAAAGAGGGGGACCUUCGGGCCUCUUGCCAUCGGAUGUGCCCAGAUGGGAUUAGCUAGUAGGUGGGGUAACGGCUCACCUAGGCGACGAUCCCUAGCUGGUCUGAGAGGAUGACCAGCCACACUGGAACUGAGACACGGUCCAGACUCCUACGGGAGGCAGCAGUGGGGAAUAUUGCACAAUGGGCGCAAGCCUGAUGCAGCCAUGCCGCGUGUAUGAAGAAGGCCUUCGGGUUGUAAAGUACUUUCAGCGGGGAGGAAGGCGAUAAGGUUAAUAACCUUGUCGAUUGACGUUACCCGCAGAAGAAGCACCGGCUAACUCCGUGCCAGCAGCCGCGGUAAUACGGAGGGUGCAAGCGUUAAUCGGAAUUACUGGGCGUAAAGCGCACGCAGGCGGUCUGUCAAGUCGGAUGUGAAAUCCCCGGGCUCAACCUGGGAACUGCAUUCGAAACUGGCAGGCUAGAGUCUUGUAGAGGGGGGUAGAAUUCCAGGUGUAGCGGUGAAAUGCGUAGAGAUCUGGAGGAAUACCGGUGGCGAAGGCGGCCCCCCUGGACAAAGACUGACGCUCAGUGCGAAAGCGUGGGGAGCAAACAGGA
rnacentral:rRNA from 1 species